CUCCUGUUCCUUGUUUGUAAAGUCUGCGGUCCUUCACUCUCCAGCCUGCUCUGACGCUCCAGACUGAUCCAUGUUCGCGAUUGGUCAGAUGCGGCGGGCUCCGCCUUAUAUGUGUGCACGCGCUCAUAGCAGAGCUGGAUCCACUUAUGAGGUUGAUAACCAGCGUCGUAAAACCGCUUAGCGAGACCGCUGGCUACCGCGCUAAGUUGAGCGAGGUAGCUCAAAGGCUACCUCGCUAGGUUGAACCUGCUUCGUAGAAC
rnacentral:lncRNA from 1 species